rnacentral:lncRNA from 1 species
CCUUUUCGAAAAUCCUCUUAACUGUGACUGCAGAAUUUUUGCAUUCUGGUCAUGGUUAAUUGAACAAUCAUCCAUAUAUGUAAGAAGCUAUGUUAAAUGUAGUAACGGAACAUUAGUUAUAUCACUGCAGUCAGCUGCUCUAGACACAUGUCAUCGUAAGUACUGCCAGUUGAUAGUGACCUUUAAAGUAUUACGUUUCGAAACAUCACAUUCAUGAAUUCCAUUUUCAAUCAGCAGAAUCUCAAAUAAUUAGUAUAGUUUGUUUUUAUGACAAAACAAUAUUCAAGGAUGAGAAUCAACAAAAACAAAAUUGCAUACAAAGGGUACAUCAUAUAUGUUUCAGUGUUUUCAGAGUUAUCUCCUGUCAAUCCACAAAGAAACAUUUAAAUGUAAUUGUAAAAAAAUACUAUAGAAUAAUACAGUACAUUUACAGACACAAAAACAACACACAAUUUGGUUUUGUAGAUGAAUCAAGUACCAAAAAAAGAUGUAUGAUUUCUUCUUGUUUUUAAAUUUCAAAAAAGGUACAUUUCAAAAAUACUCAACUUCGAAAAAAUAUUCUCAACGGAACAUUUCUAAUUUAAUUGAAAGUAUUAAAGGCUAAAACAAAGUCAUGUCAAUAAAAUGAAUAACAACUGCCAUAUUCCUUUGUUGGUUCAGUCAUUUUGUAUGUAUACAAUGAUGAAUUAAACCAGGUUUUUAUAGAAUGCAUCGAACGCUGAAAGAUAACAAUACCAUUCGUCUCUUGUUAAUAACACGAACACAUAAGUGUCCUUACAAACAACGCUAUAUUGCUGAGUAUGCAAAGUGCUCGACAAAACUGCUUUCUAUAAAAAAAAUAAACAUAUACUAUAUCAAAAAUCAUAACCUAGCUUCAGAAUUAUUUGGAAAUAUUCUACCCUUAGAAUGAUGUGAAUAAGAUGUAAUAAUUUUCCAGCUGAUACGAUUUUCUCGAUCGUGAUUUUCCUAUCAUAUUAUCAUUGUCAAUCGAGAAUGUUUGCUUAUAAUGACUCUUUUCUCUUAUGGAAGUGUAUAAUUGACAAUUUAAAUUAUCUAGAGCACAAACGUUAUUGAACAUAUAUGCUACAAUUGUCUCUUUGUUCUUAACGGUGUUGUCGCUCAAUUAUACGUCAAUCUGUCUUCGACUUCGAUUUCUCUUCAAAAAGACAGCUUCAAAUUUAUAUUCUGAUUUCUCUGACUAUUUUCAAUAAAACCAUGACAUGAACAUACAGUUUUACCAGUGCUUUAAAAUUAAACCGCAUCAGCAAUCAGUAUUUGGUUUGCACAUACACAAAAUAUUUCAUUGCAUUUUAUUUUAAAAAUAAUGAUAAAAAGGGUUAAAUUAUGUGUAGGUUGCUAAAUGUGUUAAUGAUUUUGCUUUAAUUUUAUAUUAACUUAUUUGACAAUUCAUGGUAGAAUUGUUUUAUUUAAGCUGCUAACUGUCAAUGCUUCAAUGGUGGGAAAUGUGUGGCAAUGGGUUAUACCCUUAUUUGUAAAUGUAUAGGACAAUGGACCGGCACAUUUUGUCAAGGUAUAUAUUUGAUUACAUUCAAGGAAACACAAUAGUAAUGAAACAGCUAAAAUUACAAAUGUUUAUUAUAAACAUAG